rnacentral:misc_RNA from 1 species
CGUGCUCGAUUGAAGCCGCGUCUCCACGGAAACGCAACCGCCGUGCCUCGAAAGCAUGUUCAUAUAAGCGCUAAUUUCCACAUCAAACGCUGUUUACCAACACCCGCCGUGUACGAUGAUAUUCCAGCUCGAUAGAAAAACCUACAGCCGUUCCUACCGACACGGUACGCGUCGUUGCAUUCGUUUCUAUCACGGGACUUUAACCUGCGUAUGCACAAGUCGUAAAAAUUCAGACGGAAAACCCAGCACGCCUUGAUCUCGUCUCUGUACGGUUCGAAGGAUUCAAUCUCCCUUUGCUAAUGGCUCAUGCAAUCCCGAUCUACAAGCUCCAUUACCUAACGCAUCGAGAAAUAUGCGUACCAGAGAUUCGAGGAAGCGCGCACCCAGCAACUUGGGAUCCCUCCAAGGAACUCCACCCGGACCAGGUCGACCCCACGGCCAGAGCGGUGCCAGCUAAGCACACGGCGUCAUAGCAUAUUAAGCAGUUUCCAAGAUUUUCAUGCCCGGAAUUUCGUGAACUCAUCGUCCUUGGCUUCUCGUGCAGCUUUUGCUUUGGUAAGUUGUUGGUAUGGAUAACAUGGUAACGUUACUUCAGGCGAGUGAAACAAAUUUCAUUCAGAAUUUCAGAUAAUACAAUGAAUUAUAACGUUCAGAUUGAAAUAACAGAGGAAUUUCAAAAGUAUUUCAUUUUCGUUAAAAAUAAAACAACCUUGAUUUUCGUCUGCUUCGUAUGAUUCUGUUAAUUUUUAAUCAGGAGAAGCUUUCUAGUAAGAAUAAAGCACGUUAAAUGGAUGGAAGGUAAGAUAUCGCUGGAAGAAAAAUGAGAUUAUUUGUUCUAAUGAAUUAGAAAAGUAUAAUUAAAUAUUUACUUGCAACGACAAAAUCGCUAGCACGAGAAUAAUAGGUUAAAUUAUUGAUGAUAAUUAACCGUGUCUACUUGAAAAGCUGGUUAUGAUUAAAACUGUAGGUUGAGAAUGAUUAAUUCAUGUCUUUGCAAAUUGUUGGCGCAUUUCACGCAUUAAUAUUAAAAUACUUAAUGAAAAAGCAAUGAACAUUUUCAAAAAUGCCAAGCGGUCGGUUGAUUAAAACUCUUUAAUUUAAUGCAAAAAUUGAGUGACUGUAAAAAAUCAAUUAAUAAAAUUUAAAUAUAUGAUUGAUUAAUAAAAAUCGGAACUUCGACGCGU